UUCAUUUGAAAGGGAGCACGACGUAUGUUGAAAAAUCAAAUAUUAAACAGCCGUGAGGGCCAAAUACCACUCAUUUGACUUAUUCUUUCUUUUGCUUUUGUUUUCAUUUUCUGUUGCGCCACUCGUUUUAUUCAUUUUUAUUCAGUUAUUUGACGACGACGACGACACUUCCUCACUAAUAUCUCGUUGUCGCUGAUAAUGACUUCACUCAGUAAGGGUAUUUUUUUAUUAUUUUUUUUUAUUUUUUAUGGGCUUUUCCUUUUUCCGUCGUUUGAUUCCAGAAGAAGAAACGUCCCCGGCACGAUGCAAUGAAGUUGCGGCAACAUCACGAGAAUUACUAUAUAACCUUGACGUAUGCAUUUAUUCGUACUGUUUCGUCCCUGCAUCAAGUCAGAUUGGUAGAUGAAAAAUAUUUAUAUGCCAUCAAGCUACCUGGGUAUUGCUUUCUGGAGAGAAUAAGUGAGCCAUUGUUUGCUCGUCUCUAACAGAAAGUCUGUUGAAACAGCUGUGAUACAUGCUGCUUGCUGAGAGAGGUUCAAAAACUCAGUACACACGAAAAAACUGAAAAACUGCAUCACUCCACGAACUCCUCUCCAUGCAUGCCGCCAUGCAUGCUUAAACGAACAAAGAUGCGUCAAGGGUCAAGGGCGACAUGAUUGGGAAAUAUACCGAAGUAAAUCGUGCUGACACGAACACACGUAUUUCCCCUCGUGCUCUUUUUAUUUUUUUUAUUCAUUUAUUUUAUUUAGAAUUUUUUUUUCUCUCUCUCUUACGUUUUGCCUCCGUACUGGCUUGCAUUCUGACUGUCUGGUGCAUGUGAUGAUUUAAACCCGUACAACAUUGCCUAUGCGACUACGGUCAAAAUGAGUACUGGCCACGGUCUGUUUAUAUUAAAGACUGAUAACCGAA